CCUACGGGAGGCAGCAGUGAGGAAUAUUGGUCAAUGGGCGCAAGCCUGAACCAGCCAAGUCGCGUGAGGGAUGACGGUCCUAUGGAUUGUAAACCUCUUUUGUCGGGGAGCAAGGCCCGCCACGUGUGGCGGGAAGGAGAGUACCCGAAGAAAAAGCAUCGGCUAACUCCGUGCCAGCAGCCGCGGUAAUACGGGGGAUGCGAGCGUUAUCCGGAUUUAUUGGGUUUAAAGGGUGCGUAGGCGGAAGGUUAAGUCAGCGGUCAAAUGUCGGUGCUCAACACCGGCCUGCCGUUGAAACUGGUCGUCUUGAGUGAGCGAGAAGUAUGCGGAAUGCGUGGUGUAGCGGUGAAAUGCAUAGAUAUCACGCAGAACGCCGAUUGCGAAGGCAGCAUACCGGCGCUCAACUGACGCUGAGGCACGAAAGCGUGGGGAUCGAACAGGAUUAGAUACCCCAGUAGUC
rnacentral:rRNA from 1 species